GAUGAAGAACGCAGUGAAAUGCGAUAAGUAAUGUGAAUUGCAGAAUUCCGUGAAUCAUCGAAUCUUUGAACGCACAUUGCGCCCCCUGGUAUUCCGGGGGGCAUGCCUGUCCGAGCGUCAUUGCAACCCUCAAGCGCGGCUUGUGUGUUGGGCUUCGUCCCCCCGUGGACGUGCCCGAAAGGCAGUGGCGGCGUCCCGAAUGGUGCCCGAGCGUAUGGGAACUCUCUUCCGCUCGAACCGGCCCAUUCGGCGCUGGUCGAACCCCAAUUGUUUUUUACCGGUUGACCUCGGAUCAGGUAGGGAUACCCGCUGAACUUAAGCAUAUCAAUAAGCGGAGGA
rnacentral:misc_RNA from 1 species